CCACAUUCGAUCACUUGCUCGCCGCUCGGCGGCUGGCGGCACAGAUGGACCAGUGCUUCAUCGUACGUUCGUUUUGAACCAAGUGUAUGGCAUCCAAGGCAGAGAGACAUAUAUCAUUGAUUUCGACAUGAGGGGUGUCAUCGAUGUCACCAGUUGCAAGGCUCUGUUUUCAUCCACUGCGCAGUUGUUUUAGAGCAAUGCAUUCUUAUUUUUGGGUCAG
rnacentral:sRNA from 2 species